rnacentral:rRNA from 1 species
ACGCUCGACACCUACUGGAGGCAGCAGUAGGGAAUCUUCCACAAUGGGCGCAAGCCUGAUGGAGCAACACCGCGUGAGUGAAGAAGGGUUUCGGCUCGUAAAGCUCUGUUGUUGGAGAAGAACGUGCGUGAGAGUAACUGUUCACGCAGUGACGGUAUCCAACCAGAAAGUCACGGCUAACUACGUGUCAGNNGCGAGUAUCNGAGGCGGNNGNAG